rnacentral:misc_RNA from 1 species
CGUCGUCGAUCGUCCCAGUUGACCCCUCGUUCCCUUGUCGUUCGACCGGUGGCGCGCGGGCAUGGGCCGGGCUUGAUGCCGAAGUGACCGUUCCAGCACAUGAGCGGUGAUGGGUUUGCGUGCGUCGACGGGCUCCCUGCCACCGUGCAGCUGAUCGCCGUCGCCUCAGCCCUUUCAUUAUCCCUCUCGAGCCGUUGUGGCCACGUGCCUCUCGAGUUGCCUGCGCGAUCUACCUCAUUUGUCGUACGGAAAAGUGAGAUCUUGCCCACAAGCACCUCCCGCUCACUCUCCUGCCGCACGUGGCAGUCGGAGCGGCUACGCAACCGUUUCCCCCGAUGCUUGCUCGGAUGAUGGUGCCGGCCUUCGGUCCCGUCGUCCUUGAUCUUUGUGCCUUCGGCGGUUUCGGUGAGCGCUCUCGGACCCGGCAAAUAAGUCUUUCCGGCCUGGCGGCUGCGCUGCGCCCCUGCCGUGAACUCUCUUUUUCGGUUGGUCGCCCCCGGUUUGGGCCGACGCUCGGCUCCUCGUCGCGCCCCCCCCGCCGCCGUCCCCUGCCUUGGCGUCGGACGGGCGCUGGGGUGGCGCGGCGCGUCGCGGACGAUG